ACAUGGUGCCAGAAGUGGGAUCCCAUACUGGGUUCUCCAGCCCAACGACUGAUGUCUCGUCAAACCCGUGCUGCCCGGCCUGUACCCCAGCAGCUUCUGCAGCCACAGGUCCGUUC